rnacentral:rRNA from 1 species
ACUUUCUAACCCUGUGCACUUGUUUGGGAUAGUAACUCUCGCAAGAGAGCGAACUCCUAUUCACUUAUAAACACAAAGUCUAUGAAUGUAUUAAAUUUUAUAACAAAAUAAAACUUUCAACAACGGAUCUCUUGGCUCUCGCAUCGAUGAAGAACGCAGCGAAAUGCGAUAAGUAAUGUGAAUUGCAGAAUUCAGUGAAUCAUCGAAUCUUUGAACGCACCUUGCGCUCCAUGGUAUUCCGUGGAGCAUGCCUGUUUGAGUGUCAUGAAUACUUCAACCCUCCUCUUUCUUAAUGAUUGAAGAGGUGUUUGGUUUCUGAGCGCUGCUGGCCUUUACGGUCUAGCUCGUUCGUAAUGCAUUAGCAUCCGCAAUCGAACUUCGGAUUGACUUGGCGUAAUAGACUAUUCGCUGAGGAAUUCUAGUCUUCGGAUUAGAGCCGGGUUGGGUUAAAGGAAGCUUCUAAUCAGAAUGUCUACAUUUUAAGAUUAGAUCUCAAAUCAGGUAGGACUACCCGCUGAACUUAAGCAUAUCAAUAAGCGGAGGAAAAGAAACUAACAAGGAUUCCCCUAGUAGCGGCGAGCGAAGCGGGAAGAGCUCAAAUUUAUAAUCUGGCACCUUCGGUGUCCGAGUUGUAAUCUCUAGAAAUGUUUUCCGCGUUGGACCGCACACAAGUCUGUUGGAAUACAGCGGCAUAGUGGUGA